UGUCUCCUCCAUGUCUCCACUGAUAUGGAUUCAGCCCGCCGGUCUCGGCGGGCUUUUUUUC
rfam:Burkholderia calidae type strain LMG 29321 genome assembly, contig: contig000073